rnacentral:rRNA from 1 species
UACGGGGGGGGCAAGCGUUGUUCGGAAUUACUGGGCGUAAAGGGCUCGUAGGCGGCCAACUAAGUCAGACGUGAAAUCCCUCGGCUUAACCGGGGAACUGCGUCUGAUACUGGAUGGCUUGAGUUUGGGAGAGGGAUGCGGAAUUCCAGGUGUAGCGGUGAAAUGCGUAGAUAUCUGGAGGAACACCGGUGGCGAAGGCGGCAUCCUGGGCCAACACUGACGCUCAUGCACGAAAGCGUGGGGAGCAAACAGG